rnacentral:lncRNA from 1 species
UUAGAUGGCUUCUCCAUCAAGACUUCAAUCUCAAAGGGCAAUACUGUGUGGCAAAAGAAGAGCUGGCUCUUGGAGGACUUCUGGGGCCCCAGGCAUGGAUCAAUGUUUGCAUCAGAAAAGAAAGCCUGUCAGCAAUGGAGGUGCUGGAGGAUUUCUGGAAGGGGGGGCCUCAUUCAAGACCACCAAGGGACUGCUGACUGUUCUCGUUCAUGACGCCUCUCUUCAAGGAAAUUGACCCUCCCAGAGUGCAAGACGGAGAAAAAGGUUCUUAAGAAUUUCCCCUGGAAAUCACCACUGAAUGGAUGCCAGGCAAUUCUAGAAUCUCCACUCUUUCGUUUUUUGGGCCUCUUGGAUGGGUGAG